UACGUAGGGUGCAAGCGUUAAUCGGAAUUACUGGGCGUAAAGCGUGCGCAGGCGGUUAUGUAAGACAGUUGUGAAAUCCCCGGGCUCAACCUGGGAAUUGCAUCUGUGACUGCAUAGCUAGAGUACGGUAGAGGGGGGAUGGAAUUCCGCGUGUAGCAGUGAAAUGCGUAGAUAUGCGGAGGAACACCGAUGGCGAAGGCAAUCCCCCUGGACCUGUACUGACGCUCAUGCACGAA
rnacentral:rRNA from 1 species